GAGAGGUAUCGUUUGCCGGAGGGGGAGGAGCAGUGCCUACAAGCUAGGGCUCAUUCUGUGUUUGACAAGGCAGCGACGAAGGUGGUCAGGGAUAUGAUGUCCAAUGCUCGUAUACAUUGUGUUUGCUUAUACUACAAAAAAAAUAAAGCUGCAAGACAUGAACAAGAAACUGGGCGCUUCUGAGAUAUAUCUCCGAGAGGAUGAGUAUCUUCAAGUUGAUAUUAGCGGUUUGCCUUGGUUGAGCAAGUGUCCAGAUGCUUGGCGAGCACUUUGUGCUUAUUGGGCUUCACCCAGCUUUGUGAAAAAAUCCAAGAUGAAGAGAGCUAAUCGUCAAGCAGGACCACGGGUUACACAAAGAUAUGGAGCCGAUGGACACCUUCGUUUGGCUCAUCGAAUGGAGGCACAAAGUGGGGUGGCCCCAAGCUAUACUGAGACAUACAUUCGAGGCCAUCACGGCUCAGAUCCUACACAGCCAGAGUUACUUUGCAGUGAGAAUGCCACAUAGACUCUGGUGAGAUAUGGUGAUGAAAUGGUGGCACGUCAUGGGGAGGAGUACGAUUGGAGGAGAAGUG